rnacentral:tRNA from 2 species
GCCCUCGUAGCUCAGCUGGAUAGAGCGUCCGCCUCCUAAGCGGAAGGCCACGCGUUCGAAUCGCGUCGAGGGUGCCA